UUAAAAAUUGUGCUAUCCUUCGGUAUGACCU
rnacentral:sRNA from 1 species